UUUGAAGUAGCUGUAUAUUUAGCGCUGGCCUUUUAAGCCAGAGAUGGACGACUGUCCCUCAUAG